rnacentral:rRNA from 1 species
GAUGAACGCUGGCGGCGUGCUUAAUACAUGCAAGUCGAACGAAGCACCUUGGACAGAAUCCUUCGGGAGGAAGACCAUUGUGACUGAGUGGCGGACGGGUGAGUAACGCGUGGGUAACCUGCCUUGUACAGGGGGAUAACAGUUGGAAACGACUGCUAAUACCGCAUAAGCGCACAGUACCGCAUGGUACGGUGUGAAAAACUCCGGUGGUACAAGAUGGACCCGCGUCUGAUUAGCUUGUUGGUGAGGUAACGGCCCACCAAGGCGACGAUCAGUAGCCGACUUGAGAGAGUGAUCGGCCACAUUGGGACUGAGACACGGCCCAAAACUCCUACGGGAGGCAGCAGUAGGGAAUAUUGCACAAUGGGGGAAACCCUGAUGCAGCGACGCCGCGUGAAGGAAGAAGUAUUUCGGUAUGUAAACUUCUAUCAGCAAGGAAGAAAAUGACGGUACUUGACUAAGAAGCCCCGGCUAAAUACGUGCCAGCAGCCGCGGU